AGCAGCCGCGGUAAUUCCAGCUCCAAUAGCGUAUAUUAAAGUUGUUGCAGUUAAAAAGCUCGUAGUUGAAUUUCGGGAUCAAUACGUCGGUCGUGCUUCGGUACGUACUGGCGUAAUUGAUUUCUCCCUUCUGACGAACCAUGAUGUCAUUAACUUGGUGUCAUGGGAAAUCAGGACUGUUACUUUGAAAAAUUAGAGUGUUUAAAGCAGGCUCACGCUUGAAUACAUUAGCAUGGAAUAAUGAAAUAGGACGUUCGAUCCUAUUUUGUUGGUUUUUAGGAUCAACGUAAUGAUUAAUAGGGAUAGUUGGGGGCAUUAGUAUUCAAUUGUCAGAGGUGAAAUUCUUGGAUUUAUUGAAGACUAACUACUGCGAAAGCAUUUGCCAAGGAUGUUUUCAUUAAUCAAGAACGAAAGUUAGGGGAUCGAAGACGAUCAGAUACCGUCGUAGUCUUAACCAUAAACUAUGCCGACUAGGGAUCGGAUGAUGUUAAUUUUUAAUGACUCAU
rnacentral:rRNA from 1 species